rnacentral:rRNA from 1 species
UUGGAGGGCAAGUCUGGUGCCAGCAGCCGCGGUAAUUCCAGCUCCAAUAGCGUAUAUUAAAGUUGUUGCAGUUAAAAAGCUCGUAGUUGAAUUUCGGGAUCUAUCCGUCGGUCGGGCCUCACGGUCCGCACUGGUGUGAUGGAUUCCUACCUUCUGAAUAACCGGUAUGCCAUUAAUUUGAUGUGCCGGGGAAGCAGAACCAUUACCUUGAAAAAAUUAGAGUGCUCAAAGCAGGCCUAUGCCUGAAUACAUUAGCAUGGAAUAAUAAAAUAGGACGGCAUGGUUCUAUUUUGUUGGUUUCUAGGAUCACCGUAAUGAUUAAUAGGGAUAGUUGGGGGCAUUAGUAUUCAAUUGUCAGAGGUGAAAUUCUUGGAUUUAUUGAAGACUAACUUCUGCGAAAGCAUUUGCCAAGGAUGUUUUCAUUAAUCAAGAACGAAAGUUAGGGGAUCGAAGACGAUCAGAUACCGUCGUAGUCUUAACCAUAAACUAUGCCGACUAGGGAUCGGACGAUGUUAAUUUUAUAAUGACUCGUUCGGCGCCUUACGGGAAAC